ACAUUGUGCUUGCACAGAUGACGACCGGCGCACGGGUGCGUAACGCGUAUAGAACCUACCUUUUACAGAGGAAUAGCCUUUAGAAAUGAAGAUUAAUGCCUCAUAGUAUUGAUUAAUCGCAUGAUUAAUUAAUUAAAGAUUUAUCGGUAAAAGAUGGCUAUGCGUCCUAUUAGUUAGUUGGUAAGGUAACGGCUUACCAAGACAGCGAUAGGUAGGGGUCCUGAGAGGGAGAUCCCCCACACUGGUACUGAGACACGGACCAGACUCCUACGGGAGGCAGCAGUGAGGAAUAUUGGACAAUGGAGGAGACUCUGAUCCAGCCAUGCCGCGUGUAGGAAGAAUGCCCUAUGGGUUGUAAACUACUUUUAUACAGGAAGAAACACUGGUAUGUAUACCAGCUUGACGGUACUGUAAGAAUAAGGACCGGCUAACUCCGUGCCAGCAGCCGCGGUAAUACGGAGGGUCCGAGCGUUAUCCGGAAUCAUUGGGUUUAAAGGGUCCGCAGGCGGUCUAUUAAGUCAGAGGUGAAAUCCCAUAGCUCAACUAUGGAACUGCCUUUGAUACUGGUUGACUUGAGUCAUAUGGAAGUAGAUAGAAUGUGUAGUGUAGCGGUGAAAUGCAUAGAUAUUACACAGAAUACCGAUUGCGAAGGCAGUCUACUACGUAUGUACUGACGCUGAG
rnacentral:rRNA from 1 species